GACGAACGCUGGCGGCGUGCUUAACACAUGCAAGUCGAACGGAAAGGCCCUGCUUUUGUGCGGUGCUCGAGUGGCGAACGGGUGAGUAACCCGUGAGUAACCUGCCCUUCACUUUGGGAUAACUUCAGGAAACUGGGGCUCAUACCGGCUAGGAGCUCCUGCUGCAUGGUGGGGGUUGGAUAGUUUCGGCGGUUGGGGAUGGAAUCGCGGCCUAUCAGAUUGAUGGUGGGGUAGUGGCUUACCAAGGCCUGGACGGGUAGCCGGCCUGAGAGGGUGAGCGGACACAUUGGGACGGAGAUACGGCCCAGACUCCUACGGGACGCAGGAGAGGGGAGUAGUACACAAGGGGCGGAAGCCUGGUGUAGCAACGCCGCGUGGGGGAUGAGGUGCAUCGGGUAGGAAACCGCUGUCGCUUGUGACGAAGUGUGAGUGACGGUAACGGGUAAAGAAGCACCGGCUAACUACGUG
rnacentral:rRNA from 1 species